UCUCGGCAAAUUAUCCUCAUAAGUUUGACAAUAAGAGAAACCAUAUAUUAUUUAAAUUAGCCAUAAUUUAAAUAAUUAUAUGGUAUAAUAAAAUCGGAGGCCACGACUGUUUACUAAAAACACAAUUCAGAGCAAUGAUUAAGAUAAUAGUAUUCUGGAUGAAAUUUGCUCAAUGCCAUUAAUAUAAGAGAGGUAAUUUUAAAGUUACUAAUCGAAAAUCUGGUUAAUAGCGGUCUUAACUAUGAGGAUCCUAAGGUAGCAAAAUAAAUUGGCCAUUAAAUGUGGUCUUGUAUCAAUAAUGUAACGAUGGUCUCACUGUCUCUACAACUUGCUCAGUGAAAUUGAAUUGCGAGUGCAGAUGCUCGCUGUCUUCAGGGGGACGGGAAGACCCUAUGCAGCUUCUACUGA
rnacentral:rRNA from 1 species